rnacentral:rRNA from 1 species
AGAGUUUGAUCCUGGCUCAGAAUCAACGCUGGCGGCGUGCCUAACACAUGCAAGUCGUGCGCGAAAGGGGCUUCGGUCCUGAGUAGAGCGGCAAACGGGUGAGCAACGCGUGGGUGACCUACCCUCGAGUGGGGGAUAACAGUCCGAAAGGAUUGCUAAUACCGCAUGACAUCCUGUCCUUGGACGGAUGGAGAUCAAAGCCGGGGAUCGUAAGACCUGGCGCUUGAAGAGGGGCCCGCGUCCGAUUAGCUAGUUGGUGAGGUAACGGCUCACCAAGGCUCCGAUCGGUAUCCGGCCUGAGAGGGCGGACGGACACACUGGAACUGAGACACGGUCCAGACUCCUACGGGAGGCAGCAGUGGGGAAUUGUUCGCAAUGGGCGCAAGCCUGACGACGCAACGCCGCGUGGAGGAUGAAGACCUUCGGGUCGUAAACUCCUUUCGACCGAGAUGAAUGCCCUUCCAUCUAACACAUGGAAGGAAUGACAGUAUCGAGGGAAGAAGCCCCGGCUAACUCCGUGCCAGCAGCCGCGGUAAUAC